AUGCUUGCUUCAGCAGUAUAUACACUAAAAUUGGAAGACUACAGAGAAGAUUAGCAUGACUCUGCACAAGGACAACAUGCAAAUUCAUGAAACAUUCCCUAUGUCU